CCCAGACUGGUGUAAUGGCAACACAUGCGUUUGACAGCUAUGGUCGCCUUUGCGAAUGUAGUCCCUUCGGGGGGUCGCAGUUCCCGGUUCGAUUCCGGGGUCUGGGA
rnacentral:tRNA from 1 species